CAGUCGCCACGGUAAUACAGAGGGUGCAAGCGUUAAUCGGAAUUACUGGGCGUAAAGCGCGCGUAGGUGGUUUGUUAAGUUGGAUGUGAAAGCCCCGGGCUCAACCUGGGAACUGCAUUCGAAACUGGCAGGCUAGAGUCUUGUAGAGGGGGGUAGAAUUCCAGGUGUAGCGGUGAAAUGCGUAGAGAUCUGGAGGAAUACCGGUGGCGAAGGCGGCCCCCUGGACAAAGACUGACGCUCAGGUGCGAAAGCGUGGGGAGCAAACAGGAUUAGAUACCCCGGUAGUCCCUGUCUCUUAUAC
rnacentral:rRNA from 1 species